UGGCAAUGAUGUGUAUAGAAUUUCUUCACCUGAAUACAACCGUGUGGCACUCAGAGCUUUUUAACCCUGAGCAGC